UGGUUUCAGAUCAACAGGUAAUUUGUCCAACGACAAUACUAUUUUUACUCAUUAUACGUACAUGUAUGCAUACUUCUUUUUAGCAGUAUGCGAACCACACUUUUUUUGUCAACAGGAUUUCUGUUUUGAUGUUCGAAACAUAAGUUUGAGGAACACAAAUAUCACACCUCAAACCACAUCAGCUUGCACCUGCUUGCCCAAAUUUGACGUGACACCGGAAAAAAAUAGAGGUGCAAUGGCAACAGAGGAAAUGGAACAAAAUGACAGUGGGCCAGUUUUUGACCAGACCCCAACUCCUCAUGUUGAUACACUCAAAGGUACUACAAACUCUGGAUCUGAUCCACCACUUACAGAGCAAGAGUGUAUCCGUUCUCUGUGGGAUUUAAUUUGUUCCAAGGACAUUGACCAA